rnacentral:rRNA from 1 species
GGACGAACGCUGGCGGCGCGCCUAACACAUGCAAGUCGAACGGAGUCAAGAGGAGCUUGCUUUUCUUGACUUAGUGGCGAACGGGUGAGUAACGCGUGAGUAACCUGCCCUGGAGUGGGGGACAACAGUUGGAAACGACUGCUAAUACCGCAUAAGCCCACGGAUCUGCAUGGAUCUGCGGGAAAAGGAUUUAUUCGCUCUAGGAUGGACUCGCGUCCAAUUAGCUAGUUGGUGAGGUAACGGCCCACCAAGGCGACGAUUGGUAGCCGGACUGAGAGGUUGAACGGCCACAUUGGGACUGAGACACGGCCCAGACUCCUACGGGAGGCAGCAGUGGGGGAUAUUGCACAAUGGGGGAAACCCUGAUGCAGCGACGCCGCGUGGAGGAAGAAGGUUUUCGGAUUGUAAACUCCUGUCGUUAGGGACGAUAAUGAUGGUACCUAACAAGAAAGCACCAGCUAACUACGUG